UACGAAGGGGGCUAGCGUUGCUCGGAAUCACUGGGCGUAAAGGGUGCGUAGGCGGGUCUUUAAGUCAGAGGUGAAAUCCUGGAGCUCAACUCCAGAACUGCCUUUGAUACUGAGGAUCUUGAGUUCGGGAGAGGUGAGUGGAACUGCGAGUGUAGAGGUGAAAUUCGUAGAUAUUCGCAAGAACACCAGUGGCGAUGGCGGCCCACUGGCCCGAUACUGACGCUGAGGCACGAAGGCGUGGGGAGCAAACAGG
rnacentral:rRNA from 1 species